CCUUUUUUCAGCUUAAUUUCCGUCCCUUGCAUUCCUUUACUACUUCCAUAUCCUCCUUGUAUCCAAUUAUGCACAAUUCUUUAUGAUUUAGAUCCUGAAAGUACUAAUCAUAUCCAUUAGGCACGAAACGGAAUAAAAGCUGAAUUAUACUUAAGAAUUCAUACAAAAGUUCUUAAACUAAGUGCAAAUCUAUGUGCAUAUUGGUUCUUUGAGCAUAUAAAUAUGCCCA
rnacentral:lncRNA from 1 species